AUAUUCAGGGGUGUGGGAUAGACUUACCUCCACGUGGUGCACCCUGGGCAACGUAUACUCAUACGGUAAAAAAGUCUAUUAACUGGCAGUUGACUUCUCACUUCAAACUACCAUCACCCCACUCUAUGUCAUAUUCCACCACUUUCACAGUAUUCAUCUUUCAUUUCCUCUGUCUUUAUGUCUGCCUGACUCUGUUGCAUCUAUGAAUCACACUUCUGUUCAGCCCCCCCCCCUCACCUCUCGACUUUUUUCACUUUGAUAUUCCUCCUCCUCUCUGUGAAGCCUGAAGUCGACUAAAGGGUUAAUGAUAACUACCAAAACGCCAGCCAUUUGAUAUAAAUAAAUAAAUAAAUAAAUAUAUAUAUAUAUAUAUUCUGGUCAGAUGCAAUGGGCCAUCUGGUCUAAAGCAAAUCGACAGAAGAUGGUCAGUAUUACUUAUGCGUCCUUCGACUGACUUGUCUUUGACACGCCCUAGUUCAACCCCAGGCAUUGAUAGUGCAUUAAACCACACCAAAAUCCACAAAACUCCACUGGAUCCAACUCAAUAAAAGUGGAAAAUUGAUGAAUACAGGGGUAAAUAAACCAGUCCCUCUGCUUUUCUAACGUCGGCUCAUCUUUUAUUCGACGGAUUCCCAAACCAUUUCACCGCUUCUUCUGUCUGGAUGCUUGCUCAUAGAUAGGACCAAAGAUUUCAGCGAUUCAAGAAGGCUAAAAUGAUAAUAAGUCGUUGAGAAUAUUCCUAAAUCAGUUUAGGAUAGCCCAAAUGUCACUUAUCCAAUACCAUUAGGUCCUUUUCACUUAACCUUAGAAAUGAAUGAUUUAAGUAAAGUCCUCAAUAUUCCUCCUACCUCCUAUAAUACUUCAAAAAAUAACAACGCAACUCCGAGAAGUCAAUAUGAAAAGGCCACGGAUACACGAUCGCUAACACGAGAAGUAUAUUUCACAGGAUAAAUUUCAUAGAGUAGAAACAAUGCACAAAGAGAGAAAGGGGUGGGGCCUGGAGGGGCAAGGGAAACAAAUUGACUCAAUGUCGCCGCCGUUCAACUUUUUGUGCUUUCUGCUGAGCGUUUGCUUUCCUCUUCGCUUCCGCCUCCAGCUGCUUUUCCCGAGCGGCUUUCUCUCGUGCUUUCCGUUCGGCGAAUUCCUUCCCAGAAAUCACUCGAGCUUGCUUCUGAGCUUCAGCUACUUUCUCGCGAUUUCCACCUCCCGCAUUGAGAAUAUCAUCUACAAAUAAUAAACCCACCUACUUAAUUCAAUUCAGCAGUAGCGCCUUUAGGUAAAAAUAACAACUGAUUAGUGAUGUGCAGGAAUGGAGUGAGGAGAUUACUACCACUUCAAACUAUCUACUACCUAGUGAAACCACAGCCAAGGCAACGGGUUUGGCAGAAUCAGGGGGAAAAGAAGACCCUGUGGAGAUUGACUGUAAUCCCACGACUUAGUGAAGAGUCAUAGCGGUGGGUGUAGCAAAUAAUUGGCAACGUUGGGUUCAACAAUUGUCAAUGACAAUGAAAGACCGCUCCAACCAUUGUUGACACAAUAUACAUAUGGUGACUAUAUUGGCUGUGGAGCAUAUGCUCGUGUCGAUGUUGCUGCGUUCGCGUAGUUGGCAUCGGCGUUGGUGGUCUCGGUUGCGUCUAGUUACUUGUAGCCGGUUGUCCGUUGCUGCUCCUUUCAUGUGACGGUGGGUGGCUCCGGAUCGCUAUUAGGUACGAUUGCGACGUGCGACCACGAUGAUAUGAAAACAUUGCCAGGUGGGGAGUUGGACUGGGGCGGUACAUCUGUCAAAUCGUAACGCAGGUGACCCAAGGUGAGCUUAGCCAGGACAGAAACCUGGCGUAGAGUAAAAGGGCAAAAGUGUGAAAGAGUGGCCUAUAGAUCCAUUUGGUCAUUCGAUUUUCAGAGUUUGUAGCAAGAGGUGUCAGAAAAGUUACCACAGGGAUAGCAGGCGACGUCGCCUUUUAUCCUCAAUGUCGGCGCUUCUUCCUACCAUUAUAAAGAAGAAUUCACCAAGCGUUGGUUUGUUCACCCACUAACAGGGAACGUGAGUUGGGCUUACACCGUCGUAAGAAACAAUAUUGUGUUACCAGUGAGUACAAUCUGGUCGUUUCUACGAAAAUCCUGUUUACUAGGAGAGGAACCGCAGGUACUGACAUUUGGUAAAUGAGCCUGGUCGCGAUCGGCCAAUAGUACGAAGCUACCAUCUGAGGGUUCACGACUGAACGCCUCUAAGACUGAAUUCCACCCAAAGACGACGCCAUGAUGCACUCCUACGGCCUGCCACAUGGAUUUGCAACCGUUACACUUUCAUCCACGAGAGUUGGGACGGGCCAGCCAGCUUUCCUCGCCAACUUCUGAUUGUUCUGACAACAGCAAUGGUAAGCCAGAGCGUUAACCAUAGCCAUGUGCAUCGAACCGCAAUGAUGUUGCGGCAUGGAGAUUGAUACGAUAUCCAAUUGUAAAAUGAACGUUGGGGGCACAAAAUCGUUUGUAGCGGACUAGAUUUUUUGCCGGGGAGAGAUGAGUAUUGGAUCAGCUAUCAGAUUCCGAGGUAUUGAGUCCUAUCCCUUCUAGACGUAUGGAUUUGA
rnacentral:ncRNA from 1 species